rnacentral:lncRNA from 1 species
GGGAAUCUCAUCACUGCUCCCUUCAUUCAGGCCCAGAGUUCCCUCUUCAUCUGCACUUACCUUGAAGAUCCACCCUGACCAUGCUGAGAUUUGGGCAGCACCUGAUCAAGCCCUCGGUGGUGUUCCUGAGGACAGAGCUGUGCUUUGCUCUGGUGAACCGCAGGCCGGUGGUGCCAGGCCGUAUCCUUUCCAUGGUGCUGCUCCCUAGGAAAGGCAGCACACUAUCAGGACACUUGGAAAGCCAGUUCCAACUUUCAGCCGGAAAAACACUCAUGGCUACUGUUCCUCUUGUGGAGUCGUGAACUGAUUUGUG